AGCGGCAGACGGGUGAGUAACGCGUGGGAACGUACCUUUUGGUUCGGAACAACACAGGGAAACUUGUGCUACUACCGGAUAAGCCCUUACGGGGAAAGAUUUAUCGCCGAAAGAUCGGCCCGCGUCUGAUUAGCUAGUUGGUGAGGUAAUGGCUCACCAAGGCGACGAUCAGUAGCUGGUCUGAGAGGAUGAUCAGCCACACUGGGACUGAGACACGGCCCAGACUCCUACGGGAGGCAGCAGUGGGGAAUAUUGGACAAGGGGCGCAAGCCUGAUCCAGCCAUGCCGCGUGAGUGAUGACGGCCUUAGGGUUGUAAAGCUAUUUUAACAGGGACGAUAAUGACGGUACCUGUAUAAUACGCCCCGGCUAACUUCGUGCCAGCAUCCGCGGUAAUACGAAGGGGGCUAGCUUUGUUCGGGAUCACUGGGCGUAAAGCGCACCUACGCCCAUUGUUAAGUCGGGGGUGAAAUCCUGAGGCUCAACCUCAAAACUGCCUUCUA
rnacentral:rRNA from 1 species